rnacentral:rRNA from 1 species
GUUUGAUCCUGGCUCAGGAUGAACGCUAGCGGCAGGCUUAAUACAUGCAAGUCGAACGGGAUUCGGGGUAGCAAUACUUUGAUGAGAGUGGCGCACGGGUGCGUAACGCGUAUGCAACCUACCUUUAACAGGGGAAUAGCCCCGAGAAAUCGGGAUUAAUACUCCGUAACAUUGCGGUGUGGCAUCACACUGCACUUAAAGCUGAGGCGGUUAAAGAUGGGCAUGCGUGACAUUAGCUAGUUGGUGAGGUAACGGCUCACCAAGGCAACGAUGUCUAGGGGUCCUGAGAGGGUUAUCCCCCACACUGGUACUGAGACACGGACCAGACUCCUACGGGAGGCAGCAGUAAGGAAUAUUGGUCAAUGGGCGCAAGCCUGAACCAGCCAUGCCGCGUGCAGGAAGACGGCCCUAUGGGUUGUAAACUGCUUUUGUCAGGGAAUAAACCCCCGCUCGUGAGCGGGGCUGAAGGUACCUGAAGAAUAAGCAUCGGCUAACUCCGUGCCAGCAGCCGCGGUAAUACGGAGGAUGCAAGCGUUAUCCGGAUUCAUUGGGUUUAAAGGGUGCGCAGGCGGAUUGGUAAGUCAGGGGUGAAAUCCCACAGCUCAACUGUGGAACUGCCUUUGAUACUGUCAGUCUAGAGUAUAGUUGAAGUUGGCGGAAUGUGUCAUGUAGCGGUGAAAUGCUUAGAUAUGACACAGAACACCGAUCGCGAAGGCAGCUAGCUAAGCUAUAACUGACGCUCAUGCACGAAAGCGUGGGGAUCAAACAGGAUUAGAUACCCUGGUAGUCCACGCUGUAAACGAUGAUUACUCGAUGUUGGCGAUACACAGUCAGCGUCUGAGCGAAAGCAAUAAGUAAUCCACCUGGGGAGUACGAUCGCAGGAUUGAAACUCAAAGGAAUUGACGGGGCCCGCACAAGCGGAGGAGCAUGUGGUUUAAUUCGAUGAUAC